CCACCUAGGGCCGGAAAGUUAUCCAAACUCGGUCAUUUAGAGGAAGUAAAAAGUCGUAACAAGGUCUCCGUUGGUGAACCAGCGGAGGGAUCAUUA
rnacentral:rRNA from 1 species